rnacentral:rRNA from 1 species
CAUCACUACGCUAGAUGCAUAUCAAUAAGCGGAGGAAAAGAAACUAACAAGGAUUCCCCUAGUAACGGCGAGUGAAGCGGGAAGAGCUCAAAUUUGAAAUCUUAAAGGGUCUCCCUUUACGAAUUGUAGUUUAAAGAAGUGUUUUCUGUUGGAGUUUCGGUAAAAGUUCUUUGGAAUAGGACAUCAUAGAGGGUGAGAAUCCCGUAUUUGACCGUUACUUUCCAGCUGUGUGAUACACUUUCAAAGAGUCGGAUUGUUUGGGAAUGCAGUCCAAGAUGGGUGGUAAAUUUCAUCUAAAGCUAAAUAUUGGCGAGAGACCGAUAGCGAACAAGUACCGUGAGGGAAAGAUGAAAAGAACUUUGAAAAGAGAGUUAAACAGUACGUGAAAUUGUCAAAAGGGAAGCGUUUGACACCAGUGUUGUUUAGUUGAAAAUCAAUUCAAUAGUUUUUGAUUCUAAGUAGUAUUGACUUCAGUCAGCUUGCUGCUUUCUUCUCAGAAAUUAUUGAAUGCACUUUUCAGUUAACAAGUCAACAUCAAUUUCUUUUGUUGUAAAAGGGUAAUAGGAAUGGUGGCUUUCUCUUCGGCGCAAGUGUUUAUAGCCUUUGGAUCUCUGCAAUCGGAGAGAUUGAGGUCUGCAGCGUAGACUCUUCGGGGUUAGAUACAUUUGUGCUAAGUUAUAGCUUUGUAUAGACAACUUGUUGACUAUGAUUAGUCAUUGUAGCUUACUCGCUUAUGCUAUUUUACCUACGCUUAGGAUGUUGACACACGCGCGUGCUCG